rnacentral:rRNA from 1 species
GACGGGGGGGGCAAGUGUUCUUCGGAAUUAUUGGGCGUAAAGAGCUCGUAGGCGGCUUGUCACGUCGGAUGUGAAAGCCCGAGGCUUAACCUCGGGUCUGCAUUCGAUACGGGCUAGCUAGAGUGUGGUAGGGGAGAUCGGAAUUCCUGGUGUAGCGGUGAAAUGCGCAGAUAUCAGGAGGAACACCGGUGGCGAAGGCGGAUCUCUGGGCCAUUACUGACGCUGAGGAGCGAAAGCGUGGGGAGCGAACAGG